AAAGAGAACAACAAUCUUCAGAAAAGCUUAUGUAUUUCUUUCCUUUUCACCCCUAAUGCUCAUCUUUUCUGUUGUUAUUUUCUCUUGUUGGAACAGCCUCUUCGCUUUGUGUUGCUGUUGGCUUUGUGAAGCCUGCUUCUAAAUUGUGACCGGCGAUUCCAAUAAGCAAAGCUUCAGUAAUAGAUUUGUCUUUGAUUGUUCUGCUUUUCUCUAUUUGAUCAGAUUAUGGUAAUAAAAUGUAAUUGGUAAGACAAAUAUAUGUAGCAAACAAUAUCUAUACUAUUAUAUUUCUCUUUUUAUUUCCUUAAAA
rnacentral:misc_RNA from 1 species